UUGGAGCUAAGUUGCCCAUCAAGAUACUCCCCAAGCAUGCGAGCCACCUACCUGUCUGUCACCGAUGAGCACCUCCGGCCCCAGCACACCGAGUUCCCAGCCUAGCAGCUCGUCCUGCAGCUCGAGGGAGGAGAAAAAGCCACUGGCAUCCCCGUGAUGGAAACCAAAGACACCCGGAGCCCUCGGUGGGCGAGGGGCUGCAGAUGAGCCCCAGGCGCGGGAUCCAUGCUCCAUGCACUCUCUUCCCUGGCAGCUUCUGCUCACUCUCACGUCUUCCUGCCUUAUGGGAUGCUUCCCUGGACUGACUGCGGCUCUCCUGGAAGGCUGGAGGUGGUUCACCUCUUCCUUUCCACCUGCACCUGCUUGGGGUGGUUUUAUGCCACGGACGGGGACCGUAUCCGGGUUCCUUUGGAGCACACCCUGGGACUGGGGUUGUCCCAGAGCAGCUCCCUCAUCCCGUAGCAAUGCAGUACCAACCACUAGUGACCCCACCACCUUCUCCAUGCCAAGGGGUGUGGGAUAGGGAUGUCUUGACCCUGCUGGCUUUCUUUUGCUUUGCGUUUUGUAAGUUACCUGAAGGGCAGAGAUGUGGCUCGGCUCACCGCCUCUGUUCCAGCUUGGAUUUGCUGCGAUGCAUGUUUGUUUGUAGGCUCUUUUUGGCAGUCCUGCUCCCUGGGGCAGGUUCCCCUGUUGUGUGCAGGACAGCUCUGGGGUAAACACAGAUUCCCUGCGGAGCUUUAAGGACUGGAGCUGGCUGUGCCAAGAGGGGGACGCAUCCCUGCACCCUGCCCGCAUUGCCGGGGCUCCAGGCUAAGCCAGAGUGCAGCAAAGGAGCCAGGAGGAACCAACGUGAGCUGACUGAGGCCUUUUGUGGCUGUUCUUUUUGGUAUGGGCUGCCCUGGGACCUCUGGGCUGCAGUGCUAGUUGUCCCCUCCCUGUUUUGCCAGCUCCGUGUGAGCUAACAGUGCUGUGGCAGAGCAGGGGCUGUCCCUGGGCAGAGCCCCAUUGGGGUAUUACUUGAUAGCACUGUGUCUUUUAAAGAUAACUGUACGUAUAUCCCUUUGUCCCCUAACUCCAUCUGUCUGUUACACGUGACUAGCAUUACUGGCUGUUGGUAACCUGAAGGUUUUUAAUGGUUUUGUUUUGUUUUGUUUUUUUGUUUGGCUUUUAAC
rnacentral:lncRNA from 1 species